rnacentral:rRNA from 1 species
GUCUACGGCCACACCACCCUGAACGCGCCUGAUCUCGUCUGAUCUCGGAAGCUAAGCAGGGUUGGGCCUGGUUAGUACUUGGAUGGGAGAUCAUAGAUGCCCGUGGUCUUAAACA